rnacentral:lncRNA from 1 species
ACAACUUGAAGCCAAACACCCCCUAAUUUUAAAAAACCAUUUCAUGAAAAUAAAACCAGUUGCCAAACAGAAUUAAUGACAGCAAAAAAAAAAACCAAAACAAAAACAAAAACAAUCUAUAUUUAUGGAAAUCAUAAUAAUCUUUUACCAUAAAAAGUGGACAAUUAAAUUCAAAACUAAAUAUAUGUAAACAAAUAUAUUUUGAAUAUACAUAAACAUAUUUAUUAUUAAUUUAAUAUGUUAAUAUAAUUUCGAAAUUAAUAAUUUAUAUAGAAUGAAAUCUAAUAAAACAAAAUCAUCAUAUCUAAAAUAACAAAGAUAACUUUUUUUAGAAAAAUAAAAAAAGAUAAAAAAAAUAUGUUAGCAUAUGAAAUAAUCAACUAAUCAAAUUCUACAUAGUAUAUAUACAGAACUGAUCAUAUCAUAAAAUUUAAAAAAAUUAUAUAAUUUUUAAAUAUAAAUAAAAUUUAACUAAAUCAAUAAUUAAAUAUUUGUUUGCUAAAAUCAUGCGAAUAAAC